rnacentral:misc_RNA from 1 species
AUUGUAGGUGCCCUCGGGCCCGCUGACACAAUAACCCUUGUCUUUUUUUGUGCACCCUUCGUUUCCUCGGCAGCUCUGCCUGCCAACGAGGACCCCCCAAAAACCUUUUGCAAUCCCAGUAUAACAAUCAGAAAACAAACAAUAUUAA